rnacentral:rRNA from 1 species
AUUGAACGCUGGCGGCGUGCCUAACACAUGCAAGUCGAGCGGCAGCGCGGGAGCAAUCCUGGCGGCGAGCGGCGGACGGGUGAGUAAUGCUUGGGAAUCUGCCUGUUAGUGGGGGACAACCCGGGGAAACGUCGGGCUAAUACCGCAUACGCACUACGGUGGAAAGCCGGGGACCGCAAGGCCUGGCGCUAACAGAUGAGCCCAAGUCGGAUUAGCUAGUUGGUAGGGAACGGCCUACCAAGGCGACGAUCCGUAACUGGUCUGAGAGGACGACCAGUCACACCGGAACUGAGGCACGGUCCGGACUCCUACGGGAGGCAGCAGUGGGGAAUAUUGGACAAUGGGGGAAACCCUGAUCCAGCGACGCCGCGUGGGUGAAGAAGGCCUGCGGGUUGUAAGCCCUUUCAGUGGGAAGAAAGCCUCGACCUAACACGUCGGGGUCUUGACGUAACCCAUAGAAGAAGCACCGGCUAACUCUGUGCCAGCCCG